UUUUCCCUGGAAUAAUAUUUAUUUUACGCAUCUUAUUCAAUAUCCAAAUGAUGAUUAUAAAUAUUAAAUAAAUAGUUUUGUUAGUGAUAAGUCUCAAAAUAUUUAUGACAACAUUACGAAGAUUUCAAGUGGAAUACAAUAUUUUUUGAUAUUAUCGAUUGACGCACUAUUCGAAAGACUGAAAAAAGAAUGCGAUUUUCAUUACCGCGUUGAGUCUGCUGUCGACUGUAGCCGGAGCGGGUUGGCGCGCGUUAAUGACGAUGACGGCGGCGAUGAAUCGUACAAUCGACAAAGAGGAAAUCAUUUUUAAUUUUGAUAUACAGACUUACAAGCCUUAUAAUUUUUAACCUUUUUUAUUUUGUGCGAAUAAAUUAUGUUCAAUUCAUACUUCAAAA